UUUAGUAAUUAACUCUUAAUUCGGUCAACAUUGCCCGUGACGUGCUGGCCAGAAUUUCUUAAACUAUCAAUGUAUGCGAUUUAAUGUCAUUAGUUAUGUCAAUUAUUAUCAAUUGUUACCUUUUUUGUACAUUAACUUUAUUUUACUCUGAAGUUAAAAAAAGAAACACAGAAAAAUCAUAGCAAAAUAAUUGAUUAUAUUUUGCAAAGUUUCCAAUGUUUAAAACGUAAAGAAUUAAUUUUCUAUAGAAAACAUUAAUAUAUACGAACAUGUGGCAACCCUAGUAUUUUAAAAAAACUAAUUAUAAGCAACUAUUUAUAAGACCACGUAACUGAAAUUAAUGAAGCAGAUAAAUAAAGAGCUUUUGUGAAGCAGGGAAGCGUAGAAUACACCUGACAAAGCUAAUAUUUUCCUGUUCCAGAAUGGAUCAACUAAUAUUUCUAACAGUUUUCUUUAUUGGAAUGCUUUUCUAUUUGACAGAAGCUGGGAAACAUGAUCCACCUCCUUUUUGGAUUCCCGAUCGCAGAUUCGGGUAAGAUCACAAAAUCAAAACUUUAGAACUGAGUGAGCCAAGGAAAUGACAUAUUGACAUGUCUUUAAAUGCAAAUAUAUAAAAUAUUAUUAAUAAAAGAAAUUUGAUGUU